UACGAAGGGUGCAAGCGUUAAUCGGAAUUACUGGGCGUAAAGAGUUCGUAGGCGGUUUGUCACGUCGUUGGUGAAACUCACAGCUCAACUGUGAGCCUGCAGGCGAUACGGGCAGACUUGAGUACUGCAGGGGAGACUGGAAUUCCUGGUGAGCGGUGAAAUGCGCAGAUAUCAGGAGGAACACCGGUGGCGAAGGCGGGUCUCUGGGCAGUAACUGACGCUGGAGGAGCGAAAGCGUGGGGAGCGAACAGG
rnacentral:rRNA from 1 species